UUGGUAGGCAGGGUGAGAAUCCCAAGGCGCUUGAGAGAACUCGGGUGAAGGAACUAGGCAAAAUGGCACCGUAACUUCGGGAGAAGGUGCGCCCUUUGACGUGGUCACAUGCGUGACUGAGCGUUGAAGGGUCGCAGUAACCUGGCCGCUGCGACUGUUUAUCAAAAACACAGCACUCUGCAAACACGAAAGUGGACGUAUAGGGUGUGACGCCUGCCCGGUGCUGGAAGGUUAAUUGAUGGGGUCAGCCGCAAGGCGAAGCUCUUGAUCGAAGCCCCAGUAAACGGCGGCCGUAACGAUAACGGUCCUAAGGUAGCGAAAUUCCUUGUCGGGUAAGUUCCGACCUGCACGAAUGGCGUAACGACAGCGGCGCUGUCUCCACCCGAGACUCAGUGAAAUUGAAUUCGCUGUGAAGAUGCAGCGUUCCCGCGGCAAGACGGAAAGACCCCGUGAACCUUUACUAUAGCUUUACACUGAACGUUGAGUUCUUCUGUGUAGGAUAGGUGGGAGGCUUUGAAGCGCAGACGCCAGUUUGCGUGGAGCCAACCUUGAAAUACCACCCUGAAGUGCUUGACGUUCUAACCUCGGCCCGUAAUCCGGGUCAGGGACCGUGUAUGGUGGGUAGUUUGACUGGGGCGGUCUCCUCCCAAAGAGUAACGGAGGAGCACGAAGGUACGCUCAGCGCGGUCGGACAUCGCGCACUGUGUGCAAUGGCAUAAGCGUGCUUGACUGCGAGAUCGACGGAUCAAGCAGGUACGAAAGUAGGUCAUAGUGAUCCGGUGGUUCUGUAUGGAAGGGCCAUCGCUCAACGGAUAAAAGGUACUCCGGGGAUAACAGGCUGAUACCGCCCAAGAGUUCAUAUCGACGGCGGUGUUUGGCACCUCGAUGUCGGCUCAUCACAUCCUGGGGCUGUAGCCGGUCCCAAGGGUAUGGCUGUUCGCCAUUUAAAGUGGUACGCGAGCUGGGUUCAGAACGUCGUGAGACAGUUCGGUCCCUAUCUGUCGUGGGCGUUGGAGAUUUGAGGGGGGCUGCUCCUAGUACGAGAGGACCGGAGUGGACGUUCCGCUGGUGUUCGGGUUGUCAUGCCCAUGGCAUUGCCCGGUAGCUAUGAACGGAAGUGAUAACCGCUGAAAGCAUCUAAGCGGGAAGCACGCCCCAAGAUGAGAUCUCCCGAGAGCUUGACUCUCCUAAAGGCACCAUCAAGACCAGGUGGUUGAUAGGUCAGGUGUGGAAGCGCAGCAAUGCGUUGAGCUAACUGAUACUAAUGAGCCGUGCGGCUUGACC
rnacentral:rRNA from 1 species